rfam:Rufibacter sp. DG15C, complete genome.
GGGGAUGACCGGAAUUGACAGCUUGAGCAAGCUGGGUGUAAGCAUGUCGGGAGUUGGCUGUUUUCCCGUAAAUCAGAAUUGACCGACUAUUAUCUGGCGAGUCUAACUACGCCAUGGCUGCCUAGUCUAGGUACUAAGCAUUUUGCCAUUGUCCUGCAGCUCCUCGGUUCGGUGGGGGUUGGUCACAGGGCAUCGUAAUGCCGAUCUAGUGUACUCCAAGGUGUGGGGAGUGCAUGAAACUAAAGCACCUAAGGUGAUUUCAUAGGCCAGGCUUGGGCCUGAACUCACACGAAAACCAAUCCAAGACUAAACAUGUAGAAAGCGCUCAAGUUUCCUUGUCUGGACCAGGGUUCGACUCCCUGCAUCUCCACCA